UGGAAUGUAGUUCAGUGAUAGAACACUUGUCUAGCAUAUGCAAAGCCCUGGGUUCAAUCCCCAGUACUGCAA
rfam:Ictidomys tridecemlineatus contig103479, whole genome shotgun sequence.